rnacentral:rRNA from 1 species
UAAUACGUAGGGUGCAAGCGUUAAUCGGAAUUACUGGGCGUAAAGCGUGCGCAGGCGGUUGUGUAAGACAGGUGUGAAAUCCCCGGGCUUAACCUGGGAAUUGCAUUUGUGACUGCACGACUAGAGUGUGUCAGAGGGGGGUGGAAUUCCACGUGUAGCAGUGAAAUGCGUAGAUAUGUGGAGGAACACCAAUGGCGAAGGCAGCCCCCUGGGAUAACACUGACGCUCAUGCACGAAAGCGUGGGAGCAAACAGGAUUAGAUACCCUGGUAGUCCACGCCCUAAACGAUGUCAACUAGUUGUUGGGGAUUUACUUCCUUGGUAACGUAGCUAACGCGUGAAGUUGACCGCCUGGGGAGUACGGCCGCAAGGUUAAAACUCAAAGGAAUUGACGGGGACCCGCACAAGCGGUGGAUGAUGUGGAUUAAUUCGAUGCAACGCGAAAAACCUUACCUACCCUUGACAUGGCAGGAACUUUCCAGAGAUGGAUUGGUGCUCGAAAGAGAACCUGCAC